GAGUUUGAUCCUGGCUCAGAAUAAACGCUGGCGGCGUGCCUAACACAUGCAAGUCGAGCGGGAAAGCCCUUCGGGGUAAGUACAGCGGCGGACGGGUGAGCAACGCGUGAGAAUCUGCCCUUUAGUGAAGAAUACUCCCGAGAAAUCGGGCAUAAUACUGCAUACGUCCCUGCGGGGAGAAAGAUGGCUUUAUGCUGUCGCUAAAGGAUGAGCUCGCGUACUAUUAGCUAGUUGGUAAGGUAAUGGCUUACCAAGGCAAUGAUGGUUAACCGGCCUGAGAGGGUGUACGGUCACACUGGAACUGAGACACGGUCCAGACUCCUACGGGAGGCAGCAGUGAGGAAUAUUGCGCAAUGGGCGAAAGCCUGACGCAGCGACGCCGCGUGGAGGAUGAAGGUCUUUGGAUUGUAAACUUCUGUUAAGUGGGAAGAAAAAGUUGCUUCUAAUACAAGCAAAAAAUGACGGUACCACUAGAGAAAGCACCGGCUAACUUCGUGCCAGCAGCCGCGGUAAUACGAAGGGUGCAAGCGUUAUUCGGAUUUAUUGGGUGUAAAGGGUGCGUAGACGGUAUAUUAAGUCUGCUGUUAAAUUCCUCAGCUUAACUGAGGGCCAGCGGUAGAUACUGAAGUACUAGAGGGUGGAAGAGAGAAGUGGAAUUCCCGGAGUAGCGGUAAAAUGCGUAGAUCUCGGGAGGAACACCAAUGGCGAAGGCAGCUUCUUGGUCCACAUCUGACGUUGAGGCACGAAAGCGUGGGGAGCAAACAGGAUUAGAUACCCUGGUAGUCCACGCCGUAAACGAU
rnacentral:rRNA from 1 species